rnacentral:lncRNA from 1 species
CAGAUUUCUGCAAAACAUUUUAUCUAUUUUGCAUAAUACAUCCCAAGCUAUUGAACAUAUGAGUGAAGAUAAAAUGUGGCAGUCAUAGCCUCAGUUUUUCUUCCCUUUUCUGGACUUUUGUAGAAGGCACACAAGUUAUGAUGAUAACUUCAGCCGUACUGUGAUCUUCAUGUUUUUAACUGCUUUCUCAGAAGCCUGAAGCCUUUUCUGCAGGACACAGCCAGGAGCUGCUCUACGUAAGGGCUGUCAUGCUGCACUGCGCUCCCACUUAUCUCCCCGCUGCUCACCCUUCUUGAAUAGCUGAAGCAUGGUGUGGAUUGCACUUGUUUCAGCAAAGAAAACUCUGCCAAGGUGAGCCCAAACUUCCAGAAAGGUCUGGACAUUUAUAUAUUCUAGGAUCAAGGGUUUUU